rnacentral:rRNA from 1 species
GUGUCAGCAGCCGCGGUAAUACGGAGGGGGCGAGCGUUAUUCGGAAUUAUUGGGCGUAAAGGGCGCGUAGGCGGCCAGUCAAGUCAAAGGUGAAAUCCCUCGGCUCAACCGAGGAAUGGCCUUUGAAACUGCCUGGCUAGAGGCCGGGAGGGGGUAGCGGAAUUCCCAGUGUAGCGGUGAAAUGCGUAGAUACUGGGAGGAACACCAGUGGCGAAGGCGGCUACCUGGACCGGUUCUGACGCUGAUGCGCGAAAGCGUGGGGAGCAAACAGGAUUAGAAACCCUUGUAGUCC